rnacentral:rRNA from 1 species
CUGGAGGAGGAGGAACAUUA